rnacentral:rRNA from 1 species
UACGGGGGGGGCAAGCGUUGUUCGGAAUUACUGGGCGUAAAGGGCUCGUAGGCGGCCAACUAAGUCGGACGUGAAAUCCCCAGGCUCAACCUGGGAACUGCGUCUGAUACUGGAUGGCUUGAAUCCGGGAGAGGGAUGCAGAAUUCCAGGUGUAGCGGUGAAAUGCGUAGAUAUCUGGAGGAACACCGGUGGCGAAGGCGGCAUCCUGGACCAAUAUUGACGCUGAGGAGCGAAAGCCAGGGGAGCAAACGGG